rnacentral:rRNA from 1 species
CUAGCUGGUAGGGUAAUGGCCUACCAGGGCUGCGAUCGGUAGCUGGUCUGAGAGGACGAUCAGCCACACUGGGAUUGAGAACGGCCCAGACUCCUACGGGAGGCAGCAGUGAGGAAUUUUCCGCAAUGGAGGAAACUCUGACGGAGCAACGCCGCGUGCAGGAAGACGGCCUUCGGGUUGUAAACUGCUUUUACCAGGGAAGAGAAUGGACGGUACCUGGUGAAUAAGCCCCGGCUAACUACGUGCCAGCAGCCGCGGUAAUACGUAGGGGGCGAGCGUUGUCCGGAAUUAUUGGGCGUAAAGGGCACGCAGGCGGUUCGCUAAGUUCGAAGUGACAAUCAACGGCUUAACCGGUGAACGAUUUCGAAAACUGGCGGACUGGAGAGCGAGAGAGGGACCUGGAACUCCGGGUGGAGCGGUGAAAUGCGUAGAGAUCCGGAAGAACACCACUGGCGCAGGCAAGGUCCUGGCUCGUAUCUGACGCUGAGGUGCGAAAGCUAGGGGAGCGAACGGGAUUAGAUACCCCGGUAGUCCUAGCCGUAAACGAUGACCACUAGAUGUGGGAGGUAUCGACCCCUUCCGUGUCGCAGGUAACCCGUUAAGUGGUCCGCCUGGGGAGUACGGUCGCAAGAUUAAAACUCAAAGGAAUUGACG